CAAUCAUCAUCUGUUUUUGGUUAUGCGAAGGUGUCUUUGGAUCGUCAUGAGAAGCCCCGAGGUGAGGCUACUUCCCAAUGUUGAUUAUUUGAAAAGUUGUGGGAUUCUUGGGACUCAACUUGCAACUCUUUAUAGGGGGCCUGGUUUCUAAGGUUUUGGAUCUGAUUCAAGAAUGUUGGCUCACAUGCUUCAUUCUUUUAGUUGUGUUAGUGGUGGGACUUUUUAGGAGUUAUGCCUUCUCGGAGGAGUGUAUGGGAAUGAUUAGGAGGUCCCCAACACUGCUCAGGACUUGAGAGGAGAAGUUGAAGCUUGGGAUUGAGUUUUUCUUGAACAAAAUCGAAGCAGAGAAAUCUGAUUUAUUAUAUCGGCCUUCGUUGUUGAUGUUUAGCAUGGAGGAGCGGGUGCUUCCGAGGUACCAAGUUUUGAAUCUUGUAAACUCCAAAAUGCUGAGGCUGACUUUUUGGAAAAAAUAUAUAGCAAGGUUCCCUGAGGAAGCAGAGGAAUUGUUGAUGGCUUACAAGGGCCAUCUUCUAGUUUUAGAUGGGUAAUAUAGAUUUUUGCUCACAGGAAUUUCUCACCUGUUCAAAUUUGGGCAUGCUUAACUUCAAAGUUGUGUUAUAAAUUUAUACUCAGCUGGAAUUCCAGGUGUGAUGUACAUCCUCCAGUACUCAUUUGAUGAGUUCAAUUGGCUUGGGGAAGAAACAGUCAAGAUUUCAGGGAUAUAUGACUUUGUAGAGCAUUUCACCUGCCGAUAGUGAGGAACAGCCAUCAGAUUCUUCUCCCGGCUCGCUACAAUACCAAAUUCCUCAGUCAUGUCCAACUCGUUAGCUAGCAUGCCUUUCGGGAGUUCCCAAUCGAAGCAAUGCACCAACUGGGCUACCACUAGCCGAACUACUGUGAUUCCUAGCUGUAUUCCGGGGCAACUUCUUCUACCAGAACCAAAAGGAAUGAGCUCGAAAUCGUGUCCCCUAUAGUCUAUGUUGCUUCCUUCAAAUCUCUCUGGGAUGAAUUCUUCAGGGUCAAUCCACACAUUUGGGUCACGUCCGAUUGCCCAAACAUUUAUAACUAUUUCUGCCCUUUUCGGUAUGUGAAAGCCUUCAACCAAACAAUCCUCCCUUGCCUCGUGAGGGAGUAGUAAUGGUACCACAGGAUGAAGUCUAAGAGAUUCUUUUAUGACAAGUUCUAAGUAUUUUAAACCUUCCAAAUCAGACUCUUCCACCAUCCGGUUUAAGCCUACCUCACUUUUUAAUUCUUGUUGUACUUUCUUCAUUAUUUGUGGAUGUUUCAAAAGUUCUGACAUUGUCCACUCUAUCACUGUUGGGGAAGUGUCCAUUGAUGCUCCAAGUAAAUCCUACACAAAUGCAAAAAUUUUAUUAUUA